rnacentral:lncRNA from 1 species
GAUUUUUCUGUUAUAUUUUAUUUAUUUAUUUAUUUAUUUAUUUUUUUCGUUUUUUGUUUUUUUUUCUUUUCGUUUUUCAUUUUUUUUUCGUUUUUCUUAAACGCGUGGGCUUCGCCUAGCGAGCAUGACAGUUCAAGAAAUUCCUCUGAGCGUAGGUGAUUCUGGUGGCUUUUCUUGGGACUCGCUAGGCGACCCAUUCUGCUCGCCUAGCGAGC